rnacentral:rRNA from 1 species
GAUGAACGCUAGCGGCAGGCCUAACACAUGCAAGUCGAGGGGUAACAGAAAAGCUUGCUUUUGCUGACGACCGGCGCACGGGUGCGUAACGCGUAUGCAACCUACCUCAUACUGGAGGAUAGCCCCUGGAAACGGGGAUUAAUACUCCAUAGUAUCACAAUUUCGCAUGUUAUUGUGAUUAAAGUUUUUCGGUAUGAGAUGGGCAUGCGUCCCAUUAGCUUGUUGGUGAGGUAACGGCUCACCAAGGCAACGAUGGGUAGGGGGCCUGAGAGGGUGGUCCCCCACACUGGUACUGAGACACGGACCAGACUCCUACGGGAGGCAGCAGUGAGGAAUAUUGGUCAAUGGAGGAAACUCUGAACCAGCCAUGCCGCGUGAAGGAUGACGGCCCUAUGGGUUGUAAACUUCUUUUAUAGAGGAAGAAACUUGUCUACGUGUAGACAACUGACGGUACUCUACGAAUAAGGAUCGGCUAACUCCGUGCCAGCAGCCGCGGUAAUACGGAGGAUCCAAGCGUUAUCCGGAUUCAUUGGGUUUAAAGGGUCCGUAGGCGGAUUUUUAAGUCAGUGGUGAAAGCCGACAGCUCAACUGUCGAACUGCCAUUGAUACUGGAAAUCUUGAGUACAAAUGAAGUAGGCGGAAUGAGUCAUGUAGCGGUGAAAUGCAUAGAUAUGACUCAGAACACCGAUUGCGAGGGCAGCUUACUAACAUGUAACUGACGCUGAGGGACGAAAGCGCGGGGAGCGAACAGGAUUAGAUACCCUGGUAGUCCACGCCGUAAACGAUCAUCACUCGCUGUUGGCGAUAUACUGUCAGCGGCCAAGCGAAAGUAUUAAGUGAUGCACCUGGGGAGUACGCCGGCAACGGUGA